GCUCAGUAACACGUGGACAACCUGCCCUAAGGUGAGGGAUAACCCCGGGAAACUGGGGAUAAUACCUCAUAAUUUACAGAUGCUGGGAUGCUCUGUAGGUCAAAGGUCAGCCGCCUUAGGAUGGGUCUGCGGCCGAUUAGGUAGUUGUUGGGGUAAUGGCCCAACAAGCCUGUAAUCGGUACGGGUUGUGGGAGCAAGAGCCCGGAGAUGGAUUCUGAGACACGAAUCCAGGCCCUACGGGGCGCAGCAGGCGCGGAAACUUUACAAUGCAGGAAACUGUGAUAAGGGAACCCCGAGUGCCCGUAUGGACGGGCUGUUCAGGUGCGUAAAAAACGCCUAGAGAAAGGGCCGGGCAAGACCGGUGCCAGCCGCCGCGGUAAUACCGGCGGCUCGAGUGGUGGCCACUAUUACUGGGCUUAAAGCGUCCGUAGCUGGGUAGUUAAGUCUCUUGGGAAAUCUUCCGGCUCAACCGGAAGGCGUCUAAGGGAUACUGGCUACCUAGGGAUCGGGAGAGGUGAGAGGUACUCUGGGGGUAGGAGUGAAAUCCUGUAAUCCUCAGGGGACCACCUGUGGCGAAGGCGUCUCACCAGAACGACUCCGACAGUGAGGGACGAAAGCUGGGGGAGCAAACCGGAUUAGAUACCCGGGUAGUCCCAGCCGUAAACGAUGCGUGUUAGGUGUAUCGGUGACCACGAGUUACCGAGGUG
rnacentral:rRNA from 1 species